rnacentral:rRNA from 1 species
UACAGAGGUGCCGAGCGUUAGGCGGAAUCACUGGGCUUAAAGCGUGUGUAGGCGGGUCGUUAAGUGUCUUGUGAAAUCCCACCGCUCAACGGUGGAACUGCUGGGCAUACUGGCGAUCUUGAGCCACCUAGGGGCAGACGGAACAAGCGGUGGAGCGGUGAAAUGCGUAGAUAUCGCUUGGAACGCCGAAGGUGAAAACAGGUUGCUGGGGUUGUGCCGACGCUGAGACACGAAAGCCAGGGGAGCAAACGGG